CGCAUCUGUGCAUGCAGCAUAUCAAUAAGCGGAGGAAAAGAAACUAACAAGGAUUCCCCUAGUAACGGCGAGUGAAGCGGGAAGAGCUCAAAUUUGAAAUCUUAAAGGGUUUCCCUUUACGAAUUGUAGUUUAAAGAAGUGUUUUCCUGUUGAGGUUUUGGUAAAAGUUCUUUGGAAUAGGACAUCAUAGAGGGUGAGAAUCCCGUAUUUGACCUUUCACUUUCAACUUUGUGAUACACAUUUCAAAGAGUCGGAUUGUUUGGGAAUGCAGUCCAAAAUGGGUGGUAAAUUUCAUCUAAAGCUAAAUAUUGGCGAGAGACCGAUAGCGAACAAGUACCGUGAGGGAAAGAUGAAAAGAACUUUGAAAAGAGAGUUAAACAGUACGUGAAAUUGUCAAAAGGGAAGCGUUUGACAUCCAGUGUUGCUUUUCUGAAAAUCAAUUAAAGAACUGUUUAUGCUAAGCUGUUUAGACUUUAUCAGCUAUCUGUUUAGUUUUGAGCUUUUCUUUAAUGCACUUUUCAGUUAACAAGUCAACAUCAAUUUCUUUUGCUGUAAAAAAGCUUGAGGAAGGUGGCUUGAGAUUCGUCUUAAGUGUUUAUAGCCUCUUGCCUAUGCAGUCGGAGAGAUUGAGGUCUGCAGCGUAGAUCCUUCGGGGCUAAAUGCAUUUGUGCUAAGUUAUAGCAUUUUAUAGACAACUUGUUGACUAUGAUUUGUCUUGUAGCUUACUCGCUUAUGUUAUUUUACCUACGCUUAGGAUGUUGAAUCUGUGCGAGACUAC
rnacentral:rRNA from 1 species